AACCCGUAGAUCCGAACUUGUGGUGAUAGUCCACACAAGCUUGCGUCUAUAGGUCUG
rnacentral:pre_miRNA from 1 species